GUAGGUGGCAAGCGUUGUCCGGAAUUAUUGGGCGUAAAGCGCGCGCAGGCGGUUCUUUAAGUCUGAUGUGAAAGCCCACGGCUCAACCGUGGAGGGUCAUUGGAAACUGGAGAACUUGAGUACAGAAGAGGAAAGCGGAAUUCCACGUGUAGCGGUGAAAUGCGUAGAGAUGUGGAGGAACACCAGUGGCGAAGGCGGCUUUCUGGUCUGUAACUGACGCUGAGGCGCGAAAGCGUGGGGAGCAGACAGGAUUAGAUACCCUGGUAGUCCACGCCGUAAACGAUGAGUGCUAAGUGUUAGGGGGGUUCCCCGCCCCCCUUAGUGCUGCAGCUAACGCAUUAAGCACUCCGCCUGGGAGUACGGCCGCAAGGCUG
rnacentral:rRNA from 1 species